rnacentral:rRNA from 1 species
AACAGGUUUGGUCCCGGCCUUUCUAUUAACUUCUAGCAAGAUUACACAUGCAAGCAUCCCCGCUCCAGUGAAGACACCCUACAAAUCACCAUGAUUAAAAGGAGUAAGUAUCAAGCACGCUUAACGCAGCUCAAGACACUUUGCUUAGCCACACCCCCACGGGAAACAGCAGUGACUAAUAUUUGGCAAUAAACGAAAGUUUAACUAAGCUAUGCUAUUCUAGGGUUGGUCAAUUUCGUGCCAGCCACCGCGGCCAUACGAUUGACCCGAGCUAAUAGACAUCGGCGUAAAGUGUGUUUUAGACAAAUACAACUAAAUAAAGC